rnacentral:hammerhead_ribozyme from 1 species
AUCCAGCUGACGAGACCCAAGUAUAGCGAAACGCGCGUCCUGGAU